rnacentral:rRNA from 1 species
GAUGAACGCUGGCGGCGUGCCUAAUACAUGCAAGUCGAGCGAACAGAUGAGGAGCUUGCUCCUCUGACGUUAGCGGCGGACGGGUGAGUAACACGUGGAUAACCUACCUAUAAGACUGGGAUAACUUCGGGAAACCGGAGCUAAUACCGGAUAAUAUAUUGAACCGCAUGGUUCAAUAGUGAAAGACGGUUUUGCUGUCACUUAUAGAUGGAUCCGCGCCACAUUAGCUAGUUGGUAAGGUAACGGCUUACCAAGGCAACGAUGCGUAGCCGACCUGAGAGGGUGAUCGGCCCCACUGGAACUGAGACACGGUCCAGACUCCUACGGGAGGCAGCAGUAGGGAAUCUUCCGCAAUGGGCGAAAGCCUGACGGAGCAACGCCGCGUGAGUGAUGAAGGUCUUCGGAUCGUAAAACUCUGUUAUUAGGGAAGAACAAAUGUGUAAGUAACUAUGCACGUCUUGACGGUACCUAAUCAGAAAGCCACGGCUAACUACGUG